rnacentral:rRNA from 1 species
UUUCUUUGCUGGCGACCGGCGCACGGGUGAGUAACACGUAUCCAACCUGCCCUUUACUCGGGGAUAGCCUUUCGAAAGAAAGAUUAAUACCCGAUAGCAUAAUGAUUCCGCAUGGUUUCAUUAUUAAAGGAUUCCGGUAAAGGAUGGGGAUGCGUUCCAUUAGGUUGUUGGUGGGGUAACGGCUCACCAAGCCUUCGAUGGAUAGGGGUUCUGAGAGGAAGGUCCCCCACAUUGGAACUGAGACACGGUCCAA